CCUACGGGAGGCAGCAGUAAGGAAUAUUGGUCAAUGGACGGAAGUCUGAACCAGCCAUGCCGCGUGCAGGAUGACGGCCCUCUGGGUUGUAAACUGCUUUUAUAGGGGACGAAAAAAGGGGAUUCUUCCUCACUUGACGGUACCCUAGGAAUAAGCACCGGCUAACUCCGUGCCAGCAGCCGCGGUAAUACGGAGGGUGCAAGCGUUAUCCGGAUUUACUGGGUUUAAAGGGUGCGUAGGUGGGUCGGUAAGUCAGCGGUGAAAUCUUCGAGCUUAACUCGGAAACUGCCAUUGAUACUAUCGAUCUUGAAUCGUCUAGAGGUAAGCGGAAUAUGUCAUGUAGCGGUGAAAUGCUUAGAUAUGACAUAGAACACCAAUUGCGAAGGCAGCUUACUAUGGAUGUAUUGACACUGAGGCACGAAAGCGUGGGGAUCAAACAGGAUUAGAUACCCUGGUAGUCCACGCCCUAAACGAUGGAUACUCGACAUUUGAGAUAUACUUUAAAGGUUGUCUGAGCGAAGACGAUAAGUAUACCACCGUACGGAAGGUACGAGUCGUCGAAGAGUUAGUAAACGUUAACGAAAGGAAAGUUAGUUACGGCGUGAGGACGUUGCCGACGGACGACGACGAGGGAGGAGG
rnacentral:rRNA from 1 species